ACACAUGCAAAGAAAGCACGUAAUCAAAACAAGACAAAAUUGGGCGAAUUUCAUGCGCCCACAAAAUCGAAAAUUUCAGUUCAUUCUCAUUCUGUUUUGCAUCGUGUUCAGUCCUCUGAUUAUAUUCUUGUUAUCUUCGCGUGUUUGUUUUUGCCUCGUCGUCAGAUGUUUGAUAUAUACUUGGAUUAAUUCGUUCAAAUAACUUAUUAAGCGUGGACCAACUGGUGCAUUGAAACAAAAAAAAAUACAAAUCACUUAUCAAUAUCCAUAUGAGCACAACAACAACAACCAAAAAAACGUUUAUAUUUGUGUGAGUGUCUUGGCAGCAGUUACUUUAUAGAAUUUCCAUUACCCAGCGAAAAGAAACAGUAAAUAAUACACAUAAGAAGUAAGCAAGAAAUAAAAAUGAAAUGUAAAAUUGUGUGAGCUACCGAACUGACCUUAAUCAAAAGCAAAUAAAAUCAACAGUUACAAUAAAAGCAAAUAUAAAACGCGAAAAGAUGCCGCAAGCAGCAUUUCAAUGAAUGGAAAAUAAUAAAACCUAAUUUAAUUACAAUAAAAGAGAAAAAUAAAAUCAAAGAGACAAAGUAAAUAGAAUUUAAGGAUAAACAAUAAAAAUUUGUUAAAACUUGUGUGCAAUAGAUACUACAAACAUACAUACAUACAUACAAAAAAAUGAAAUAAAAUAAGAAAAUACUGUAACAAGUGAGUGUUUCUGUGCAUUUUUGUGUGAAAUCUUGCUCUACUACUUAUACAUUUGCCUGUGUGCUAAUCUAACCGUUAAAGCGCUCGCAAUCUCGCUGCUCCUCGAACGUGUCGUCCGUCAGCAUGUUACGGAAUUUUAUUUGAUUUGCAAUUGAAUUACAAUUGAACACAAAGAACUCGUAAAGAUAUUGAAAAAUAGCAAUAACAACAACAACAACUGCAAAAUAAUAUAUACACAAACAGAAGAUAGACAAAUCAACAACAAAAAAAGUCUUUUCAAAAGCCAACGAAUUAAAUAAGAAAUUCCGUUAAAUUACUUUCAAUUUUGAUUACAUCAACGCAGCGGUGUACACACACACACACACACACAAACAAGCGCGCAGACGCUCACAUCACAGCAAAAGCGUAUCCAGCCCAAACCACCCACUCGCGCGGCCAAGCAGCAGGCGUACGUGUGUGCCAUUGACGUGCCUACAAGCGAGCACAUAGCCCAAGAGGCAAGCAGACGGACAGACAGACAGACAGACAAGUGCUACAAACCCAUACAUACCGCUACACACACACACACACACACACACACGUGUAUAUACGAGCACCUUGAACCUCAGCCGUAACUUUUUGCUCUUGUUGUUGUUGCCGUCGUCUAAUCAUCGUCGCACUUUGUCAUAGCUUCUGAUUGUUGAAGACAACGCAAAAACACUCGAAGGCACUUGAGUGCUUUGGAACUUUUAAUUGAAUUUUCAAAUGAUAUGGUAUCAACAGAAAGCUUUAAACGAACGCAACCAGCAGAGAUUAGCGUCAGUUAUUAAGCACUUAACCAUCAAUCGGCCUCAUUCCACCAUUUAAAUCUUUAAAUUGAAAUUUCCGCUAUAUUUAAAGAAUUGAAAAUUAAAAAAAUCUACUGGCGUUAUACAUUUCCAGAAAAGCUUUCAAG